UGGGGAAUAUUGGACAAUGGGGGGAACCCUGAUCCAGCCAUGCCGCGUGUGUGAAGAAGGCCUUAUGGUUGUAAAGCACUUUAAGCGAGGAGGAGGGUACUGGUAUUAAUACUACCAGGUACUGGACGUUACUCGCAGAAUAAGCACCGGCUAACUCUGUGCCAGCAGCCGCGGUAAUACAGAGGGUGCGAGCGUUAAUCGGAUUUACUGGGCGUAAUGCGUGCGUAGGCGGCUAAUUGAGUCGGAUGUGAAAUCCCUGAGCUUAACUUGGGAAUUGCAUUGGAUACUGGUUAGCGAGAGUGUGGGAGAGGAGGGUAGGAUGACAGGUGUAGCGGUGAAAUGCGUAGAUAGAGGAAGGAACACCAGUGGCGAAGGCGACCACCUGGGCUCAUACUGACACUGAGGUGCGAAAGCGUGGGGAGCAAACAGG
rnacentral:rRNA from 1 species